AUGGUGACGACUACCACACAUUCGCACAAGAAGUUGAGUGGUUCGAUCAAUGUUAACGGAGGACAAGCAGGGACCAUCAGUCGAGUGGAAGGCAGAAGACGUCACAGCACUGAUGAAAAUAACAUCCAGGUCGUGUCAGAGCAGUCCUCAGACACAGAGCUAUCUUCCCCAAAGCUCUUGCCCUUCUUUCCUCCCAAUAUCCCACCUCCACCUUUCCCUCCUCCCUCCAUCGGCACCACACAACCCCUCAUACCACCACCACCCGGUUUUCCAUUACCUCCCGGUACCCCUUCUCCAAUGAUACCACCAUUAAAUAGGCUUGUGUCGUAUAGAAACUGGAGAGAGAGACAGAGGAGAUGUAGCAGACAGAGAAAGCAAGAACAUAGCAAGUCACUAUACAGGCAAAAGAAGGAGAAAAAGAAAGACAGAGAAAGAAAGGGAGAGAGAAGGAGUGGACGUUUGGCAGGAGGCUUUGAUCGACACUCAGCUACAUCUUACCCCUUCCCUGCAGGUGUGUAUUCACCUGCAGUGGGCAUGGCUUCAUGGUCAGGUGUGAUAGACAGUGGCAAAGCAUGGGAAAACUACAACCGCCGUAACAAUGAAAGGGUGAGGGAGAAAACCAGAGAAAGAGGACACAAGAAAGAGCAAGAGGAUGAGAGAGAGCGGUAUAGAGAAACAAAUAGAGAACACAGUCCGUCCUCACAAGAUCACAGAAGUGAGGAGGAGCAUGUGUCUCGACACAGAGAUCACAGUCAUUACGGAAGCGAGAGGUACAAGAAAAGCUCGGGAAGGGAAGGAAUGAGAGACAGACAUCAAGAAAGACGACGCAGAGACAGGAAUGAACAACACAGAUCCUCACGCAGUGGCAGCAGUAGGAGGCGUCAUGAUAGUGAUGACGCAGAUAGCCACAGGAGACACAGGCACAAACGCUCUAGACACAACCGAGGAAGCCUUGAGCCCAGCGAGGACUGCAGUGUGGACCAGGAGAACCAGUCAGAGGCCACAGAAUAACUCCCUGGCCAGCUG
ensembl:lncRNA